rnacentral:tRNA from 2 species
GAAGUUUAGCUCAGUUGGGAGAGCAUCUGCCUUACAAGCAGGGGGUCAUAGGUUCAAGUCCUAUAACUUCC